AUUGAACGCUGGCGGCAGGCCUAACACAUGCAAGUCGAACGGUAACAGGAAGCAGCUUGCUGCUUUGCUGACGAGUGGCGGACGGGUGAGUAAUGUCUGGGAAACUGCCUGAUGGAGGGGGAUAACUACUGGAAACGGUAGCUAAUACCGCAUAACGUCGCAAGACCAAAGAGGGGGACCUUCGGGCCUCUUGCCAUCGGAUGUGCCCAGAUGGGAUUAGCUAGUAGGUGGGGUAACGGCUCACCUAGGCGACGAUCCCUAGCUGGUCUGAGAGGAUGACCAGCCACACUGGAACUGAGACACGGUCCAGACUCCUACGGGAGGCAGCAGUGGGGAAUAUUGCACAAUGGGCGCAAGCCUGAUGCAGCCAUGCCGCGUGUAUGAAGAAGGCCUUCGGGUUGUAAAGUACUUUCAGCGGGGAGGAAGGCGAUAAGGUUAAUAACCUUGUCGAUUGACGUUACCCGCAGAAGAAGCACCGGCUAACUCCGUGCCAGCAGCCGCGGUAAUACGGAGGGUGCAAGCGUUAAUCGGAAUUACUGGGCGUAAAGCGCACGCAGGCGGUCUGUCAAGUCGGAUGUGAAAUCCCCGGGCUCAACCUGGGAACUGCAUUCGAAACUGGCAGGCUAGAGUCUUGUAGAGGGGGGUAGAAUUCCAGGUGUAGCGGUGAAAUGCGUAGAGAUCUGGAGGAAUACCGGUGGCGAAGGCGGCCCCCUGGACAAAGACUGACGCUCAGGUGCGAAAGCGUGGGGAGCAAACAGGAUUAGAUACCCUGGUAGUCCACGCCGUAAACGAUGUCGACUUGGAGGUUGUGCCCUUGAGGCGUGGCUUCCGGAGCUAACGCGUUAAGUCGAACGCCUGGGGAGUACGGCCGCAAGGUUAAAACUCAAAUGAAUUGACGGGGGCCCGCACAAGCGGUGGAGCAUGUGGUUUAAUUCGAUGCAACGCGAAGAACCUUACCUACUCUUGACAUCCAGAGAACUUUCCAGAGAUGGAUUGGUGCCUUCGGGAACUCUGAGACAGGUGCUGCAUGGCUGUCGUCAGCUCGUGUUGUGAAAUGUUGGGUUAAGUCCCGCAACGAGCGCAACCCUUAUCCUUUGUUGCCAGCGGUUAGGCCGGGAACUCAAAGGAGACUGCCAGUGAUAAACUGGAGGAAGGUGGGGAUGACGUCAAGUCAUCAUGGCCCUUACGAGUAGGGCUACACACGUGCUACAAUGGCGCAUACAAAGAGAAGCGACCUCGCGAGAGCAAGCGGACCUCAUAAAGUGCGUCGUAGUCCGGAUUGGAGUCUGCAACUCGACUCCAUGAAGUCGGAAUCGCUAGUAAUCGUGGAUCAGAAUGCCACGGUGAAUACGUUCCCGGGCCUUGUACGCACCGCCCGUCACACCAUGGGAGUGGGUUGCAAAAGAAGUAGGUAGCUUAACCUUCGGGAGGGCGCUUACCACUUUGUGAUUCAUGACUGGGGUGAAG
rnacentral:rRNA from 1 species